rnacentral:rRNA from 1 species
UGCAAGUCGAGCGGAUGAAGUGAGCUUGCUCCGGAUUCAGAGGAGGAGGGGUGAGUAAUGCCUAGGAAUCUGCCUGGGUCGGGGGACAACGUUUCGAAAGGAACGCUAAUACCGCAUACGUCCCACGGGAGAAAGCAGGGGACCUUCGGGCCUUGCGCUAUCAAAUGAGCCUAGGUCGGAUUAUCUAUUUGGUGAGGUAAUGGCUCACCAAGGCUACGAUCCGUAACUGGUCUGAGAGGAUGAUCAGCCCCACUGGAACUGAGACACGGUCCACACUCCUACGGGAGGCAGCAGUGGGGAAUAUUGGACAAUGGGCGAAAACCUGAUCCAUCCAUGCCGCGUGUGUGAAGAAGGUCUUCGGAUUGUAAAGCACUUUAAUUUGGGAGGAAGGGUUGUAGAUUAAUACUCUGCAAUUUUGACGUUACCGACAAAAUAAGCACCCGCUAACUCUGUGCCAGCCGCCGCGGUAAUACAGAGGGUGCAAGCGUUAAUCGGAAUUACUGGGCGUAAAGCGCGCGUAGGUGGUUCGUUAAGUUGGAUGUGAAAUCCCCGGGCUCAACCUGGGAACUGCAUCCAAAACUGGCGACCUAGAGUAUGGUAUAGAGUGGUGGAAUUUCCUGUGUAGCGGUGAAAUGC